UACGGAGGAUCCAAGCGUUAUCCGGAAUCAUUGGGUUUAAAGGGUCCGUAGGCGGUUAAAUAAGUCAGUGGUGAAAGUUUGCGGCUCAACCGUAAAAUUGCCAUUGAUACUGUUUGACUUGAAUCAUUGGGAAGUAACUAGAAUAUGUAGUGUAGCGGUGAAAUGCUUAGAUAUUACAUGGAAUACCAAUUGCGAAGGCAGGUUACUAUUGAUGUAUUGACGCUGAUGGACGAAAGCGUGGGGAGCGAAC
rnacentral:rRNA from 1 species